CCUACGGGAGGCAGCAGUGGGGAAUUUUGGACAAUGGGCGCAAGCCUGAUCCAGCAAUGCCGCGUGAGUGAAGAAGGCCUUCGGGUUGUAAAGCUCUUUUGUCAGGGAAGAAACGGUUGUUCCUAAUACGGAUGGCUAAUGACGGUACCUGAAGAAUAAGCACCGGCUAACUACGUGCCAGCAGCCGCGGUAAUACGUAGGGUGCAAGCGUUAAUCGGAAUUACUGGGCGCAAAGCGUGCGCAGGCGGUUAUAUAAGUCAGAUGUGAAAUCCCCGGGCUCAACCUGGGAACUGCAUUUGAGACUGUAUGGCUAGAGUGUGUCAGAGGGGGGUAGAAUUCCACGUGUAGCAGUGAAAUGCGUAGAUAUGUGGAGGAAUACCGAUGGCGAAGGCAGCCCCCUGGGAUAACACUGACGCUCAUGCACGAAAGCGUGGGGAGCAAACAGGAUUAGAUACCCUGGUAGUCCACGCCCUAAACGAUGUCUACUAGUUGUCGGGACUUAAUUGUCUUGGUAACGCAGCUAACGCGUGAAGUAGACCGCCUGGGGAGUACGGUCGCAAGAUUAAAACGUAGAAAGUAGUAGCGNGAGAGAGACGACGACGGACGACGAGGAGGGAGGAG
rnacentral:rRNA from 1 species